rnacentral:lncRNA from 1 species
CCCGGCCCCGCCCGCCCGUCCGCCCGGGCCCGCGCCGCUGCUUACCGCCGCUCCAGCUCCGAGGGCUCCGCGCCCAACCCGGGAGGCCCGCAAGGUUAGACGAAAGGUUGCUGUUGCUUUGAAUUCCAUGCCUUACUCUGCUACAGAAACAUAUCCAAAACACCCUCUGAGAAAUGUCAGAGUGUCAGAGAAGCUCAGUGGAAAAAAGCCAACACAGGAAGAGAGAGAGAGAGCAAGAAAAAAAAAGAGAACGCCUUGGUCUAUUUACUGUCUCCUGGGACUACAGUUUGGUUUCAGUUCCUUUGACUCAACAUGAACAGCUUCUCCACCUGACAACUGCAUGAAAGCUUCAAGCACAGCCAUAACCAAGGCCUCCCCAAGUGCACCUUGGGACACAACUGCUUCUAUUUUGCAUGUUUGAUUUGUAUAUGCAUCUCAGAAUUGGUGAAAUAUUGGACUUAGUCAUCAUUUACCUAUAGAACAUGGAUUAUGUGCUAUGUAAUUUACUGGAAACUGAGGCAUAGCAUAAAUAACAGUCUAGUAAGAAGAACAUACAGGAAAGAACAGAAUUUUAAAAACAAUUUAAAACUGGCCUUGGUGGCCCAUUCUUUAAUCUUAACCCUCAUGAAGCUGAGACAUGUGGAUCUCUGUGAAUUUGAACCCAAUCUGGUCUACAUAGUGAGUUCCAGGUCUGCCAGGGCUGCAUAGGGAGAUUCUGUCUGAAAUGCAAAAUUACAACAAAAAAUAAAACUUUAUGUGCUAUAAAAGAAUAAUAAAAAGGGUGGGAAGGAGGG